rnacentral:tRNA from 1 species
CAGGGAGACAACAAAAUGUUUAAUAUUAUAAUUUUGUCACCUUAGGUCGAUCGGUAUCUCACGUUCUUGAUUUAUUAAGAAUUUCAUUUCCUAAGUUUUUCUAGGUCACACCCAUUAUUUUUCCUGGGCCAUUAGCUCAGGUGGUUAGAGCGCACCCCUGAUAAGGGUGAGGUCCCUGGUUCAAGUCCAGGAUGGCCCAUAUCUCUAUGUUGGGGGUAUAGCUCAGUUGGUAGAGCGCCUGCUUUGCAAGCAGGAUGUCAGCGGUUCGAGUCCGCUUACCUCCACUGAUUACCACCUCUUCCAUAAUCUGUAGAAAGGAAAUUUUUUGAGUUGUGAUCAAAUUCUGAACGAAUCUAGCUUCCUAAUGUAACUAUUAAGAUGCUGGACUCAUUGAAUUAAUUUCAUUGUUUUCAGAGAACCUUGACAACUGCAUAGAUUAUUUUUUAAAGACAAUAAGCAUCUUUUAUGAUGCAGAUUUAUUAUUUGUGCGAAUGCAUUAAUAACAAUUCUAUUAAGCUGAUGCUUCAAUUUAAUGAAGUUAUU